UACGUAGGGUGCAAGCGUUGUCCGGAAUUAUUGGGCGUAAAGAGCUCGUAGGCGGUUUGUCGCGUCGGCUGUGAAAACCUGGGGCUCAACCCCGGGCCUGCAGCCGAUACGGGCAAACUAGAAUUCGGUAGGGGAGACUGGAAUUCCUGGUGUAGCGGCGAAAUGCGCAGAUAUCAGGAGGAACACCGGUGGCGAAGGCGGGUCUCUGGGCCGAUAUUGACGCUGAGGAGCGAAAGCGUGGGGAGCGAACAGG
rnacentral:rRNA from 1 species